rnacentral:rRNA from 1 species
UGACGGUAAUUACUUAGAAAGUCACGGCUAACUACGUGCCAGCAGCCGCGGUAAUACGUAGGUGGCAAGCGUUGUCCGGAUUUAUUGGGCGUAAAGCGAGUGCAGGCGGUUCAAUAAGUCUGAUGUGAAAGCCUUCGGCUCAACCGGAGAAUUGCAUCAGAAACUGUUGAACUUGAGUGCAGAAGAGGAGAGUGGAACUCCAUGUGUAGCGGUGGAAUGCGUAGAUAUAUGGAAGAACACCAGUGGCGAAGGCGGCUCUCUGGUCUGCAACUGACGCUGAGGCUCGAAAGCAUGGGUAGCGAACAGGAUUAGAUACCCUGGUAGUCCAUGCCGUAAACGAUGAGUGCUAAGUGUUGGGAAGUUUCCGCCUCUCAGUGCUGCAGCUAACGCAUUAAGCACUCCGCCCUGGGGAGUACGACCGCAAGGUUUGAAACUCAAAGGAAUUGACGGGGGCCCGCACAAGC